GUGUCAGCAGCCGCGGUAAGACGAGGGAUCCUAGCGUUGUUCGGAAUCAUUGGGCGUAAAGCGGGUGCAGGUGGCUUUGUAAGUCAGGUGUGAAAGCCCAGGGCUCAACCCUGGAAGUGCACUUGAUACUGCGAAGCUUGAGUGUAGGAGAGGUUACUAGAAUUCUUGGUGUAGUGGUGAAAUACGUAGAUAUCAAGAGGAAUACCGGUGGCGAAGGCGGGUAACUGGCCUAACACUGACACUCAGACCCGAAAGCGUGGGGAUCAAACAGGAUUAGAUACCCUGGUAGUCC
rnacentral:rRNA from 1 species